CCUACGGGUGGCAGCAGUGGGGAAUAUUGCACAGUGGGCGCAAGCCUGAUGCAGCCAUGCCGCGUGUAUGAAGAAGGCCUUCGGGUUGUAAAGUACUUUCAGCGAGGAGGAAGGCGUUAAGGUUAAUAACCUUAGCGAUUGACGUUACUCGCAGAAGAAGCACCGGCUAACUCCGUGCCAGCAGCCGCGGUAAUACGGAGGGUGCAAGCGUUAAUCGGAAUUACCGGGCGUAAAGCGCACGCAGGCGGUCUGUCAAGUCGGAUGUGAAAUCCCCGGGCUCAACCUGGGAACUGCAUUCGAAACUGGCAGGCUAGAGUCUUGUAGAGGGGGGUAGAAUUUCAGGUGUAGCGGUGAAAUGCGUAGAGAUCUGAAGGAAUACCAGUGGCGAAGGCGGCCCCCUGGACAAAGACUGACGCUCAGAUGCGAAAGCGUGGGGAGCAAACAGGAUUAGAUACCCGCGUAGUC
rnacentral:rRNA from 1 species